UACGUAGGGUGCGAGCGUUAAUCGGAAUUACUGGGCGUAAAGCGUGCGCAGGCGGUUUUGUAAGCCAGAUGUGAAAUCCCCGGGCUUAACCUGGGAAUGGCAUUUGGGACUGCAAGGCUGGAGUGUGGCAGAGGAGACUGGAAUUCCUGGUGUAGCAGUGAAAUGCGUAGAUAUCAGGAGGAACACCGAUGGCGAAGGCAGUGUUCUGGGCCAGUACUGACGCUGAGGAGCGAAAGCGUGGGGAGCAAACAGG
rnacentral:rRNA from 1 species